rnacentral:rRNA from 1 species
AUGAACGCUAGCUACAGGCUUAACACAUGCAAGUCGAGGGGCAGCAUGGUCUUAGCUUGCUAAGGCCGAUGGCGACCGGCGCACGGGUGAGUAACACGUAUCCAACCUGCCGUCUACUCUUGGACAGCCUUCUGAAAGGAAGAUUAAUACAAGAUGGCAUCAUGAGUCCGCAUGUUCACAUGAUUAAAGGUAUUCCGGUAGACGAUGGGGAUGCGUUCCAUUAGAUAGUAGGCGGGGUAACGGCCCACCUAGUCUUCGAUGGAUAGGGGUUCUGAGAGGAAGGUCCCCCACAUUGGAACUGAGACACGGUCCAAACUCCUACGGGAGGCAGCAGUGAGGAAUAUUGGUCAAUGGGCGAGAGCCUGAACCAGCCAAGUAGCGUGAAGGAUGACUGCCCUAUGGGUUGUAAACUUCUUUUAUAAAGGAAUAAAGUCGGGUAUGGAUACCCGUUUGCAUGUACUUUAUGAAUAAGGAUCGGCUAACUCCGUGCCAGCAGCCGCGGUAAUACGGAGGAUCCGAGCGUUAUCCGGAUUUAUUGGGUUUAAAGGGAGCGUAGAUGGAUAUUUAAGUCAGUUGUGAAAGUUUGCGGCUCAACCGUAAAAUUGCAGUUGAUACUGGAUAUCUUGAGUGCAGUUGAGGCAGGCGGAAUUCGUGGUGUAGCGGUGAAAUGCUUAGAUAUCACGAAGAACUCCGAUUGCGAAGGCAGCCUGCUAAGCUGCAACUGACAUUGAGGCUCGAAAGUGUGGGUAUCAAACAGGAUUAGAUACCCUGGUAGUCCACACGGUAAACGAUGAAUACUCGCUGUUUGCGAUAUACUGCAAGCGGCCAAGCGAAAGCGUUAGGUAUUCCACCUGGGGAGUACGCCGGCAACGGUGAAACUCAAAGGAAUUGACGGGGGCCCGCACAAGCGGAGGAACAUGUGGUUUAAUUCGAUGAUACGCGAGGAACCUUACCCGGGCUUAAAUUGCAGAUGAAUUACGGUGAAAGCCGUAAGCCGCAAGGCAUCUGUGAAGGUGCUGCAUGGUUGUCGUCAGCUCGUGCCGUGAGGUGUCGGCUUAAGUGCCAUAACGAGCGCAACCCUUGUUGUCAGUUACUAACAGGUUCCGCUGAGGACUCUGACAAGACUGCCAUCGUAAGAUGUGAGGAAGGUGGGGAUGACGUCAAAUCAGCACGGCCCUUACGUCCGGGGCUACACACGUGUUACAAUGGGGGGUACAGAGGGCCGCUACCACGCGAGUGGAUGCCAAUCCCCAAAACCUCUCUCAGUUCGGACUGGAGUCUGCAACCCGACUCCACGAAGCUGGAUUCGCUAGUAAUCGCGCAUCAGCCACGGCGCGGUGAAUACGUUCCCGGGCCUUGUACACACCGCCCGUCAAGCCAUGGGAGCCGGGGGUACCUGAAGUGCGUAACCGCGAGGAGCGCCCUAGGGUAAAACUGGUGACUGGGGCU